rnacentral:rRNA from 1 species
AUUGAACGCUGGCGGCAGGCCUAACACAUGCAAGUCGCACGAGUGGCGGACGGGUGAGUAAUGUCUGGUAAACUGCCUGCUGGAGGGGGAUAACUACUGUAAACGGUCGCUAAUACCGCAUACCAUCAGAUGUGCCCAGAUGGGAUUAGCUAGUUGGUGGGGUAACGGCUCACCAAGGCGACGAGCCCUAGCUGGUCUGAGAGGAUGACCAGCCACACUGGAACUGAGACACGGUCCAGACUCCUACGGGAGGAAGCAGUGGGGAUUAUUGCACAAUGGGCGCAAGCCUGAUGCAGCCAUGCCGCGUGUAUGAAGAAGGCCUUCGGGUUGUAAAGUACUUUCAGCGGGGAGGCGUUACCCGCAGAAGAAGCACCGGCUAACUCCGUGCCAGCAGCCGCGGUAAUUC